CGUAGGGUGCAAGCGUUAAUCGGAAUUACUGGGCGUAAAGCGUGCGCAGGCGGCUUUGCAAGACAGAUGUGAAAUCCCCGGGCUUAACCUGGGAACUGCAUUUGUGACUGCAUGGCUGGAGUGCGGCAGAGGGGGAUGGAAUUCCGCGUGUAGCAGUGAAAUGCGUAGAUAUGCGGAGGAACACCGAUGGCGAAGGCAAUCCCCUGGGCCUGCACUGACGCUCAUGCACGAAAGCGUGGGGAGCAAACAGGAUUAGAUACCCUGGUAGUCCACGCCCUAAACGAUGUCAACUGGUUGUUGGACGGCUUGCUGUUCAGUAACGAAGCUAACGCGUGAAGUCGACCGCCUGGGGAGUACGGCCGCAAGGUUG
rnacentral:rRNA from 1 species